GGCUGUAAUGGUCUAACGGUGAAGGCUUUCGUUUUUCUCAGCCUAGCCACCACCCAACCCCGUCAGAUCCCCUCCGUUGCGCGCCCAGCCCGAACGUCGCGGUGGCCACUCACUCGCAUGGGUAACCUGCGAUGCUGCUUGUGGCCCUAAGAUACGGAGAUGACCCUUGAGGGAGGUUUCACUCUGCAGAGAACUCUCCCCCGCUUCGUGGCGGGCUGGAUUACGGUUGCCGGAGGGCUUGGGUUGGUUGGGCGAGAUGGAAACGUCGACAUCGAUUU
rfam:Stachybotrys chartarum IBT 40288 unplaced genomic scaffold scaffold671, whole genome shotgun sequence.